rnacentral:rRNA from 1 species
UAUUGCACAAUGGGCGCAAGCCUGAUGCAGCCAUGCCGCGUGUGUGAAGAAGGCCUUCGGGUUGUAAAGCACUUUCAGUCAGGAGGAAAGGUUAGUAGUUAAUACCUGCUAGCUGUGACGUUACUGACAGAAGAAGCACCGGCUAACUCCGUGCCAGCAGCCGCGGUAAUACGGAGGGUGCGAGCGUUAAUCGGAAUUACUGGGCGUAAAGCGUACGCAGGCGGUUUGUUAAGCGAGAUGUGAAAGCCCCGGGCUCAACCUGGGAACUGCAUUUCGAACUGGCAAACUAGAGUGUGAUAGAGGGUGGUAGAAUUUCAGGUGUAGCGGUGAAAUGCGUAGAGAUUUGAAGGAAUACCGAUGGCGAAGGCAGCCACCUGGGUCAGACACUGACGCUCAUGUACGAAG